rnacentral:rRNA from 1 species
AUUGAACGCUGGCGGCAGGACUAACACAUGCAAGUCGAGCGAGCUGCGGACGGGUGAGUAAUGUAUGGGGACUGCCCGAUAGAGGGGGAUAACUACUGGAAACGGUGGCUAAUACCGCAUACUAUCGUAUAAACCCUAUUGGAUUAGCUCGUAGGUGGGGUAAAGGCUCACCUAGGCGACGCUCUCUAGCUGGUCUGAGAGGAUGUGCAGCCACACUGGGACUGGGACACGGCCCAGACUCCUACGGAGGCAGCAGUGGGGAAUAGUGCACAAUGGGCGCAAGCAUGAUGCAGCCAGGCCGCGUGUAGGAAGAAGGCCUUAGGGUUGUAAAGUACUUUCAGCGGGGAGGAGUUACCCGCAGAAGAAGCACAGGCUAACUCCGUGCCAGCAGCCGCGGUAAUUC